rnacentral:rRNA from 1 species
UACGAAGGGGGCGAGCGUUGUUCGGAAUUACUGGGCGUAAAGGGCGCGCAGGCGGCUCAGACAGUCAGAUGUGAAAGCCCCGGGCUUAACCUGGGAACUGCAUUUGAUACUACUGAGCUUGAGUACGGGAGAGGAUAGUGGAAUUCCCAGUGUAGAGGUGAAAUUCGUAGAUAUUGGGAAGAACACCGGUGGCGAAGGCGGCUAUCUGGACCGUAACUGACGCUGAGGCGCGAAAGCGUGGGGAGCGAACAGG